UCAGCGACUUAUAUUCUGUAGCAAGGUUAACCGAAUAGGGGAGCCGAAGGGAAACCGAGUCUUAACUGGGCGUUAAGUUGCAGGGUAUAGACCCGAAACCCGGUGAUCUAGCCAUGGGCAGGUUGAAGGUUGGGUAACACUAACUGGAGGACCGAACCGACUAAUGUUGAAAAAUUAGCGGAUGACUUGUGGCUGGGGGUGAAAGGCCAAUCAAACCGGGAGAUAGCUGGUUCUCCCCGAAAGCUAUUUAGGUAGCGCCUCGUGAAUUCAUCUCCGGGGGUAGAGCACUGUUUCGGCAAGGGGGUCAUCCCGACUUACCAACCCGAUGCAAACUGCGAAUACCGGAGAAUGUUAUCACGGGAGACACACGGCGGGUGCUAACGUCCGUCGUGAAGAGGGAAACAACCCAGACCGCCAGCUAAGGUCCCAAAGUCAUGGUUAAGUGGGAAACGAUGUGGGAAGGCCCAGACAGCCAGGAUGUUGGCUUAGAAGCAGCCAUCAUUUAAAGAAAGCGUAAUAGCUCACUGGUCGAGUCGGCCUGCGCGGAAGAUGUAACGGGGCUAAACCAUGCAC
rnacentral:rRNA from 1 species